UACGAGUGCCUCAAGCGUUAUCCGGAAUCAUUGGGCGUAAAGGUUGUGUAGGUGGUCAUAUUAGUCUUCUGUUAAAUUCUUCGGCUUAACCGGGGGCAUGCAGAGGAAACGGUAUGACUAGAGGAUGCGAGGGGUCUGCGGAACUCAUAGUGUAGCGGUGAAAUGCGUUGAUAUUAUGGGGAACACCAAAAGCGAAGGCAGCAGACUGGAGCACUCCUGACACUGAAACAAGAAAGCGUGGGUCGCGAAUGGG
rnacentral:rRNA from 1 species